rnacentral:rRNA from 2 species
UGGCUCAGAACGAACGCUGGCGGCAGGCCUAACACAUGCAAGUCGAGCGCCGUAGCAAUACGGAGCGGCAGACGGGAGAGUAACACGUGGGAACGUGCCCUUCAGUUCGGAACAACCCAGGGAAACUUGGGCUAAUACCGGAUACGUCCGUAAGGAGAAAGAUUUAUCGCUGAAGGAUCGGCCCGCGUCUGAUUAGCUAGUUGGUGGGGUAACGGCCCACACAAGGCGAGGAUAGAGUAGCCGCACUUGAGAGGGUGAUCGGCCACAUGGGAAUUGAGACACGGUCCAGAGACCUACGGGAGGCA